rnacentral:rRNA from 1 species
CUUCCAGACUCCUACGGGAGGCAGCAGUGGGGGAUAUUGGACAAUGGGGGGAACCCUGAUCCAGCGACGCCGCGUGAGUGAAGAAGUAUUUCGGUAUGUAAAGCUCUGUCAGCAGGGAAGAAAGAAAUGACGGUACCUGACCAAGAAGCCCCGGCUAACUACGUGCCAGCAGCCGCGGUAAUACGUAGGGGGCAAGCGUUAUCCGGAAUUACUGGGUGUAAAGGGAGCGUAGACGGUUAAGUAAGUCUGGAGUGAAAUGCCGGGGCUUAACCCCGGAACUGCUUUGGAAACUGUGCAGCUAGAGUGCAGGAGAGGUAAGUGGAAUUCCUAGUGUAGCGGUGAAAUGCGUAGAUAUUAGGAGGAACACCAGUGGCGAAGGCGGCCUGCUGGACUGUAACUGACGUUGAGGCUCGAAAGCGUGGGGAGCAAACAGGAUUAGAUACCCGCGUAC